rnacentral:lncRNA from 1 species
AUGUCUUUCAUUUAACUCACAACCACCAGGGCCUCUUUCUGGUGCUAUUAUUAUUAUUACCCAUAACUUGUUUUUACUUUUUUAAGAUGCCCUCAGGACCAAGGCUGAGCACAACCACACUUGACAUAAACCUUCUGGUUUCUUCAGAUAGACCAGCAGGCACUAAUGUGGAAUGACACAGGAGGUUGUAGAGACAGGAGGUUGUAGAGACAGGAGGUUGUAGAGACAGGAGGUUGUAGAGACAGGAGGAUUUAGAGACAGGUGGUUGUAGAGACAGGAGGUUUUACAGACAGGUGGUUGUUGAGACAGGAGGUUGUAGAGACAGGAGGUUGUAGAGACAGGAGGUUUUACAGACAGGAGGUUUUACAGACAGGUGGUUGUAGAGACAGGAGGUUGUACAGACAGGAGGUUGUAGAGACAGGAGGUUGUAGAGACAGGAGGUUGUAGAGACAGGUGGUUGUAGAGACAGGAGGUUGUAGAGACAGGAGGUUGUAGAGACAGGAGGUUUUACAGACAGGUGGUUGUUGAGACAGGAGGUUGUAGAGACAGGAGGUUGUAGAGACAGGAGGUUGUAGAGACAGGAGGUUGUAGAGACAGGAGGUUUUACAGACAGGAGGUUGUAGAGAGAGGAGGUUGUAGAGACAGGAGGUUGUAGAGACAGGAGGUUGUAGAGACAGGAGGUUGUAGAGACAGGAGGUGGUACAGACAGGUGGUUGUAGAGACAGGAGGUUGUUGAGACAGGAGGUUGUAGAGACAGGAGAUUGUAGAGACAGGAGGUGGUAGAUACAGGAGGUUGUGGGCAUGCAUGUGCGUGUCCUGGCCUGCUCUCGACAGAUGGAAGUCUCUCUCAGAUUACAUGCCUGUGAGGAACAAAGAAAACCGUUCUCCAAACACUGAUGUCAGACAACCAACCAGUCUACACAACCAACUGUCUGAACUGGUAAUCUAGUCUACACAACCAACUGUCUGAACUGGUAAUCUAGUCUACACAACCAACUGUCUGAACUGGUAAUCUAGUCAACACAACCAACUGUCUGAACUGGUAAUCUGGUCUACACAACCAACUGUCUGAACUGG